GCGGGGUAGCUCAGAUGGUUAGAGCGUUGGAUUCAUAACCCAAAGGUCGGCAGUUCGAUUCUGCUCCC
rnacentral:tRNA from 1 species